ACGUAGGGGGCGAGCGUUAUCCGGAAUUACUGGGCGUAAAGGGCGUCUAGGCGGCAGCCUAAGUCCUAUGUGAAAGCUCCCGGCUCAACUGGGAGAGGGCAUGGGAAACUGGGUAGCUAGAGACUCAGAGGGGGGUGUGGAAUUCCCGGUGGAGUGGUGAAAUGCGUUGAGAUCGGGAGGAACACCAGUAGCGAAGGCGGCACCCUGGCUGAGAUCUGACGCUGAAGCGCGACAGCGUGGGGAGCAAACGGG
rnacentral:rRNA from 1 species